GUUCCUCUCAGGGAGAAUGGGAGUUUUGUUUGGCAGUGUUUGGCAAGGAAUCAAAGUGGGGAGGUAGUCUACAGAAUCAUGAAAUCAAGCAUUGCAUGACUAUCACCCAAAUUGCCGAGUGUGAAAGGUUAACUCGCUUCUGUUAGCUGAGAAGAAUGAAGACUCUUUCAAAUUGUGAAGAUGCUUAUUUUUAUUCUGAUCUACAAGGAUGUUUUAUGAAACAAAGCUGCCGACACUGAGGAUGAGAGAUGCAGAAGGGCUGAGGUUAGAACUUCUAGGCACAGGCAAGCAAAUCUGAGGUUCAGCUGUGAAAAAUGGACCUUUUCGGCCUUCAGUUUCCCCACUACUGUGCAUUUCAUCAGUUUCUGGUUAUAACAAGGAGAAACUCUGUCUCUAGGAUCGAUAUCUCUUUUUUAAAUGUUGGCACUUUCCUUCAUGGUUAAAAUAUAUUUAUUCAAGAUAUUUCCUUUAGGAAUAAUUCCGAGUGGAAAGGAGUCAAAGGGUGGGAAAUUGUGUGUCUAACAUUGGUUUUAGUGUGAGCUAUUCUCAAGGUGGUAAGAACAGCAACAGAGGGGGAAAAAAUGGUAGCAUUCACCUGAUGUUUUGUGGAUGCACAUCACAUUGUGUUACUGGAGGAAAAAAUGCAAAUGAUAACAAAUGUUGUAUGCAACAAUGUUUUGUGUUUAUAAAAAUGUAUUAAUUCCCUUUUCCACAAAUGAGGCUAAAAUGCA